AGUGUCCUCCAACAUGUUUUUGCCUUCCCUGGGGGGUUUCCUUACAUAUUUAUCUGUGAUAAAAAUAAUUAGAUUUUUUUAAGCCUAUAAAAGUCCUAACUACAUGCCUUUAACUACUUUUUUUUUUCCUUUUUUACUUUGUUUUAUUUUUCUUGUUUUUUAAGGAGGUAAAGUGCUGCACUGCUGGAUUGCUGUUUCCUGACUGCACUUCCAAAGGCAGUAAUUCAAACAAAGGCUUCCAAGACAGCUAUAUUGAAGCAAAAAAUAAAGGAAUAGAGAAUACUUUCAUCAGCUCGACUGGUCAUGAAUGAGACAUUGCUGAAACUGAAUUUUACAAGAAAAGUUCAAGAAAUAAAGUCAAGACGGCUUUCUAUGUAGAG
rnacentral:lncRNA from 12 species